UAUUUAUUGGUACUGUGUUUUCUCGCAGGGAUCUGUUAUCCAAGGAUUCCUUUCGCCGAGCCGUAUUGAGAGACAUUUGUCUAAAAUGAAGCCUGGAUCGCUUUACAAGCUCAACAAUUUUUAUGGAUCAAGCAACAAAACCAUGUAUCGGGUUUCUGAUCAUGCUGUGACGGUGUCGUUCUCAUGGAACUCGGAGCUCUCUGUUCUUGAAGACAGUCCCACUCCUUUUGAUGAAGACAGAUUCCGUUUUCAUUCCUUUGAGGAAUUUCAAGCUGGCUGUGAUCGCAAAGGAGACCUCUACGGUAAUCUCUGUUAUCACACAUACCAGCUAUGAGUUGCAAUGCUUGAUGAUUAAUCUAGAAUUUUGCUUACAGUGCUAUACGUGUUUGGUUUGUGAUCACAGAACAUUACAAAUAAGAUUUACUAAUUUCGUUUUUACCCUGAGGAGGACUAUUUUUACUACAUUCAGUGUUUGGUUUUUUUUUUUUUGGACGGAUAGUUUAGUUAGGAUCUGUUAGCUGGUUGAGUUCUAUGUCUGGUUAUUCCCUAUGAAAUUGUUGAAAUGCUUUUCCAUAUUUAGUCUUCUUACUUACACGCUUAAUGAUUAAUGGUAUAGAUGUUCUUGGGCACAUGAAGCUGGUUAAUGGUCAGUGUAUCACUGGGACCCCGGUUCUUGAUGAAGUGGAAAUAGCUAGGGCGAGGCAUGUGUUGGUUCAUGUGCAGUCAUACGAGUAAGUGUUUUGUUAUUUCUUAAACACUUUGUCUGUCAACUUAUAUUAACCUUUUAGUGACAAUAUUUUGCAGUGGACCUGUGGUGAAGCUCUACCUUUGGGACCAGGCUGCAAGAGACUUCUGCAAAAAAUUCAAAUCAUACGAACGCACCCCCACCGUGUUAUUGGUGACGACCGUUAACACCAAGAGUCUCGGAGGUUCAGUUUCUAACUUUAGAAAACUUUCUUACAAUUAGUUAUCUACUCUUGCUGGUCUUUAAAUGGGUGUUGCUUAAUACAACAGGUACUCUUGCACUGACUACAAUGUCCUCCUCACGUGUCUUUAUGGAGUGCGACGUCCAGCCUACGGUCGACUACUUUAGCUGGUAAAUCUAUAUAUAUAUUCAUUUUUAUUUUUAAUCUUUAGCUGCCUCAUCCCAUACCAAUGAAUGAAUGGAUCAAAAUGUUACUACUCUGUCUCAGGUUGGGCUCUAACCCACAGAGUGCUGAGUUGGUCAAUGCAGAAGUGGUUACUAAAAGGGAGACACUGACCAUAGGAGAAAUAUUCUCCUACAUCAGGGAUGGAUCUAAUAAGGAGGCUUUUUUUGAGUGCACGGCUACGAUUGAUGAUGUGGUCCAUGGUUCAACCUGGUAUUACAUAUCAUGCAGUGGUUGCCAUACUAAGGCUACGAAAGGGCCAACUUCUUUGAUGUGUUCAAAAUGUGGGAAAGUCAACAUAUCAGGAGUACCACAGUACCGUGCACAGAUAUCUGUCUAUGACAACAGUGAGCAAGCUGUUUUUGUUCUGCUUGGUGAUGCUGGUUUUGAGUUAACCGGGAAGCAUGCAGCCGAGUUAGUCAGCAGCUAUUUUGAGGUAAGUUUCAUCACUCGGAACUCUUAGUGUUUGUACUCUGAAUAUUGGUCUUCACGUAAGAAUUGAAUAUUGAUAAUCUUGAAUGUCAGUCUAAUGGAGACCAAGGAGUUACUCAAGAGGCGCCUUUCCCGGAAGCUUUAAUUAGCACUAUCGGUCAGAAACAUAACUUCUGUGUUAAAGUUACACAGCACAACUUAGAUGGCAAGUCUCGAUCUUUGACUGUGACCAAGAUUCUCCCUAUGGAAUCUCCGCCAGUCACAGAAGCUUCGGGAGGAAACUACAACCCAACAACCUUGGAGGACGGAUUUGAGACUGGAACGAAGGUGUGUGGAGCUUCCAAAAUCAGUGUGGAUUCGGCAGAGGGAAGUAAGAACAAUGGUGACAUUGACGAGAUGGGCAAAGCAAAACGCCUCAAGCGUGGGGUGUAGAUUUUACGUGGGUCGUAACAUGUCUUGCAUGGGAGUACGUUUAAAGUUUUUUUUUUUUUUUUUUUUGCUCACUCUGUUAUUGACUUAUGAUUUCUUUCAAUUUCUCUAAAGUUUUUUAAUUACUCUGAAUGUUUAAGUUUUGAUAAUCAUUAUUCUACUUCUUAAGGCUUAUAACUCUGUUUCUUUAUGUGUUUUGAAAUAUAGGUUUGUGACAAACCGGUCAAUCAAUACCGAAUUUGAAAAUCUUUUAUUUUACGAACUAUGGAUAUUUUUUUAAAAAAAAAUGUCUGUGAUGAAAGCAACAUUUUAGGAAAAACGUGUUUUCCAAUCUACAUAAUUAAUCUACUUUCCAUAAAAUUGUUGAAGGCAUAAAUUUAGUAUUGUUUAUGGAAAAAGAAUCAAUCAAGUUAUCAAGCAUUACCUAAACCAUAUCAAACACGAUUUUACUAACCAAGAAUAUAUCUUCUCAUUUUUUAAUCAACCAAAGAUUUACGUCAAUCAUAUCCCACACGAAUUAUUUCUCCCGUAGCUCUCCCCUUACGCUGCUGCCCGGUAAACCAAGCUUUCUUCUACCGUUUUGAAGCAUCCCCUUAAGCUGCUGCAACCAAGCUUCCUAUUUCCCAUCUUUAAUCAACGCUUGACUCAACCUACUGUGGAAGGUAAGAAUUUUUAAAUCAACUAAGAAUAUACAAAAUCUUAAUCCAUCAAUCUAACUGGUAAUCAGUUUCAUUAUAAGGUUACAAAUAUAUAAGGAAUGGAGCAGCCACCUCUUCCACCCACUUCGCAGACUGCAGGUAAACAAAUCUAUAGUCAUCUUAAGAAUCGCCUUACAGGCAUGUAUGUCGCUAGAUAUAUUAAUUGUAUUACUUAGGCCAUAAACCAAGAUAUAAGGUUAAUCAAAUGUUAAACGUAACUUUAAAAUCAAAAUUUAUAUAAUAUAUAUAUUUCGGUACAUAGAAUAAUACACCAAUAAAUUUUGUUAUCGAAACGUACUCUUAUUCAUUUACAGUUCAGUUUUUUUUUUCCUAUUUAAACUUUUGAUUUUUCACAAGAUAUAUACUUUAAUAUUUAUAGGAUAGUGAUGCAAAGGUUCGUGCAUGAACUUAAUAAUAAACGAAGCUUUAGAGAUACAAAGUCGAGUCUCCCGAUUUUUUAGAUAUAUAAUGAUCUACUUUUUUGGUUAGGAUCAAUACUGAGUUUUUGAAAGACUAAAUAACACCAUUUCAUUCUAAUAAUUAUUUACGUUCUUUAUUACGUUAGAAUUAUUUCUUAUGAGUAUAAAGAACAAGUCUAUAGUCAAUGAUAUUUAAUGGCUAUAUAAAUUAUAUGUCAUAAAAAAAUCAGUAUAUUGUAUCGCUUCUUCACAACUAAUAUAUAUAUAUAUAUAUUAGUUUCUAAGUCUUCACAGCAAUAUGUCUCGAGUUUUUUUAAACUGGAAAUUUGCGGAGCUGAAAGUUAUAUAUGUAUUUAACUUAGAUCAGAAAUAAUAUAUAUAUAUAUAUAUAUAUACAGUAUUUGUUAAUUUAUUCAUUCAGGAUUUUUUUGAAUAUUGUUGUCUUACCGUUUUAUUCAAUAAUUUUGAAACAUUGUUUUUUUUUUUUUAAAAUUCCCCUUUUAUAUAGUUUUUAGCUAAUCGUAAACAUAUAUUACCUAUUCAUAGUUUGCUUAUAAAUUUCGGAUAAAAUUAAAGCUGAAAGAAAAUAAACUAACCAUCACAAGUAACUUAUAAAAUUAACAUUCAGGAAUAAAUGCUCUUUCACCCCCAACGUUUAAAGACAAAAAAUUAUAUAUUUAAACCCACUCUAUUUACCACAUUUCGACAAAGACUUCACCCCACACAAAUACCUUAACAAUGAGUGACAUACCACUUAUAUCUCAUAGAAUCUCGCAUCAAAGAAGAUCUACAGGUGGAAACCCAAAACAAACCCAACCACGAGAUGUGUAUUGUUUGCUUCGGAAAUUACAACCAACACAACAAUCUUUAUACUCUUACAUGCGGCCACAGUUUCCAUUUCCCUUGCAUUCAUCAGUGGCUUCACAGAAACAUAAGUUGUCCGAUAUGCAGAAAAAGCAAUCUUUGAUGCCAAACUUUUUGAAAAAUAAAAAAAGUCAAUUGAAUUCUGAAUUCUAAUAUCAUUUUUGUCUUCAUUUUAUUAUGCCAUUUUGUAUAAAAGUUAUUAUAUUUGAAAUCCCAUGUUAUUAUACACAGUUAAUAUAUUUAACAUAAGACUCAAUAUUCAAAUUUAGAUUUUUAAAAUAACAGAAGAACUAAUUUCUGUCUGAACUCGAGACCAAAUCCGUACAAUAAUGUUUCUAUUUUUUUGGUAAUUAUAAAAUAUCAUAAACAAUUACAUUAAUAUAAAAAAUAAAAAACAUUUUAGUAACUAUAUUUAUACGUUUGUUUCGGUAGCGUUAAUCUGUGAGGAAAAUCAUAUUUUAACUAUCUGGCUGUAUCUUAUUACAAUUUUUAAACCGUAAAUCUUUUAGUGACAUCUUCCAUGCAACACAUUCCUCAAAGAAUCCAUCAACUUCAACAAGGGAUUUCAAUGCGUCCUAUCAUCGUAUGUAUAAGAAAUGUUUGGGACAUCAAAAAACACCAAACAGAUAGGACCCGAACUUCCAUCGGCUUCAUGUGCUACGAUCACAACGUAAGCCUUUUCUAAACUUCUAUAUAUAUAUAUAUAUACAAAUAUUUAUAUAUUUCCCAAUCCACCAUUUUGGAUUUGAACUACUCACUGAUUGCUUAAUUGGGUCGGCCCAACAAAAUAUUUUUCACACCCAGGGACAACUAUUAGAAGGUCGGGUCACCGGAGACAUUCAGCCGAAUGAUUCAAAAAACUUAACCGAAGGAGAUAGUUAUGAAUUCUCGAGAUUUCAUGUCAUACAUAAUUCACGACAACGGAAACUCACCCAACUGCCGUACUAUAUUCAGAUCGGCCAAAGGACAACAGUAUUGAAUGUUACACUUGAUGGUCCGAUAUUCCCAGUUCACAGUUUGUCACCUCAGAAAUACACAAAUCUAUUGCGGUUAGCCAGUACACCCACAUACUUACCAGGUAAGUAUGUCAUUCCAAUAUUAGUUAAAUAAAUAUGUAUAUUCAUUUUAAAACCAAUGUGCAGAUGUCGUGGGACAGAUAGUCAUAAUACAAAAAAUAAAA